CCUAGCCUGGGAACUUCCAUAUGCUGUGGGCAUGGCCCUAAAAAAAAAAGAAGGGGACACGGGUGAGGAGCAGGAUGCAGGGAAGGCUGUGGAUCAUGAGUUCAGUUUGGUGCAAUUUGUCAGAUCUGUCUCCACAUCCACAUGGAGAUGCUGAGUAGGCAGGUGGUUAUGUAACUAGAGCUGGAAGAGGAGUCAGCUGGUGAAACUUAUAAAGGAGAUCUUGGAGGGAAUGGAUGCAGCGGAGUGGAGGAGACGAUGAAGGGCCUGGGCCUCUUGGCACAGGGCACAGUGUGAGGGAGAUAAUGAAGAGCCUGCCAUGGAGCCCGAGGAGUGGCUUGGAGGUGGCACCGUGUUCCUUGCUGGGGCCUCUGUUGUGAGAUAACUCAUGCAAGCUGAGGUUAUCCGGCCCAGCUGAGGGAGGUAGGAUGACACUUGCAUGGCACUUCAUGGAUGAGGCAGCUCUGGCUCCAGCCACCCUCCUCCUCCUCCUCAGGUGACUGAUACAGAAGAAGGGCCAGGACAAAAGCUAGAAGAACUCCAGCUGUGAUAUUGUGUUUAUAAGAAAUGUAUAUUUGGUUUUCCUCUGGAAUCCUUGGAAUUUCCACAGUGAUUAGAAUGAUCAAGGUGUCUUUUGUUAUUCAAAACAAGCUCCUUUCAGUCA